GCCUGGUCUUGAGUGCAGUGGUGUUUACAAGUAAUUGAUCACAAUCAGUUACAGAUUCCUUUGUUCCUCCUCCACUCCCACUGCUUCCCUCAACUAGCCCAAA
ensembl:misc_RNA Y_RNA Y RNA